UGGGAGGCUCCCGGAGGGAAGGAGUAAGCCUAGCAGCCCUGAAAGUGCUGGCCUGAACUGGGAGCUGAAAGUGCUGAAAGUGCUGAAAGUGCUGGCAGGAGCGGGGCUGAAAGUGCUGGCAGGACUGGAACUGAUUGGGGAUGAUUGUGGCUUGCUGACAUUCCCUAUACACAGUAGGAAGUAGGUAGGAAUGAGUUUCUUACCAACUGUAGAACUGUCUUCGAGCACCACAUCCACAUUUCGAUCUCUGUAUUCCACUCUGAAGUCAAGCAUUCGUGGUUGUCUUUCCACUAUUUGUCUGGAUGGCACUACGGGACGAAAUGCAGAAGAGGAGGAAGAUGCUGAAGACGAUGGCGAAGGAUGACUAGCGGGACCAUAGGGUGCUUUGCUCAUGAUACUCAAGCCUCAUUCAAAAUGCACAGAUUAAGACUGUACCGGUAAAAAAAAUGGCAGCACAAUCUUAUGCCUGCCUAUUCAGACAUAAUCCCCAUUUCAGUUCAGUCUGGCUGAAUUUUUACUAGGUAAGUGUCUAUAGGAUUAUACUUUAGGAUUUUAUGAAUAAUCACAGAACAAUUAUUUCCUAUUUUGGUAUUUGUUUUUUAAGUCUGAAAUGAUAUUUUAACAUAAUGUUUGUAUGAAAUACAAAUAAACCUUGGUGCUAACCAUUUAUGUAUUUUGCAAUUACCAAGCCUUCUUUAAAAGUAUUGAUCUUAUAAAGUAGAAUUGUUUUCCCCCUGCUUUCAAACUUUUGUAUGCCAUAUUUAUGCAUUCUUUGAGGAAUUUUCAUACUCUGAGGAUUAGAAUUGCAGAGUUCUCCCUAUACAGCAAGAGAUUUGAAAAGACCUGUGCUUCAAGUAAACAGUUUUAGGGAGAGGCUUAGGGUGUGCUGUUGCUCAGUCAUGAAGAGGCUAAAGAUCUAGUCCCCUCUGCUCCAGAUUCUACCCUCUCCAUUCAAAUCCCACCUUCUGAAGGCAAGUGCUGACAAUGGCACUCAUCUUCCAGUCUUUGCCCUCUCUGGCAACAUGCCUAGAAGUCUUUGCAAUAGACUGCACCAUAGGCAGAGGGUAAAGGCUCCCAGCAACUCUUAUUCUGAUUACCAUUUUUUCCCUACACAUGAAUAGCAAUAAAUAACAGCUUAAAGUGGAAAGCUGGAAAUAUGCUGAUAUUAAAAAUAUAGUGUUUAACUAAUCUCUAAUAAAAAAGCUCUUAAUUCAUACAGUAAUACUACUAAUAGAAGUGAUGAUGAUGUCAUUCUUAGAAUGUGACAAAGGGCUAAUAGUAUAUAUUGUAUGCUGUAAAAACAAUGAGUCAACAGUUUCUGUGCCCCCGAGGUCAAGCUUUCUACAGACUGAAAGUAGCCUAUUCUUUAAACUCCCAGGAUUUGCAGUUAUUAGCUACUGCUUUAUGUAAAAAUGUACAAUGUUAAGAUAACAGAGUAACACAACUUUUUUGUUCAGAGUAUAACUUCUCAAAAUGUUUAUUGUCACACAAAAAAGAAAGACUUGUUCAAAUUUUAGAAAACAAAUUCUUGGUAUGUGCUUAAAAUUCAGCUGUGUAAAAUUGUCCUUCCAAAGAACUGAGAACAAGCAGCAUUGCAAAAUGGAGUCUUACUUAAGACAAGCAUCCAAUUUCCUUUAUACUCAAGACAAGUCUUGUUGCUUAUUUUCAGACUUCGAAUCUCUGUAUAGGUAUCAUCAAGAAUAGCUAAUAGUUUUCUAAUGCUUUGAAGCAAUAAUCUCCUUACUUUUCAAAUUAUGAAAUUAUACACAUAAAAACUUAGAGAGCUCCUGAUACUUUUAAUUACAUUUCAAACACGAGUUUUUAAUUUCCAAAACAGAUUUUUUGCAUAUACAAUCCAUCGUUCAAAUGUUGACUACUAUUGUAACCUAGGCUUCCUGAGUUAUUAAAACACACAAGUAGUCCCAAAAACCUCUUUUAUUGCAACAGCUGUAAAUCACGUUCAUUCACAGCUGAGUCCCAAUUAGUUGCAAAAAGUCCUUCGGGAGAAGUCCUUCGGGAUAAUCACCAACCUUUAUCUCCCUUGACACUCUGCCAAAGACCUACUUGGCAAAGCCACAUGGAUUCCAGAAUCAAACAGAGAUGCCGACUGGGAACAGAAUUAACAACGUUGCUUUCCUACAAAGUUCCCACGUGCCUUUGCUCCUCUUUUAAGCCUUGUGGGAGGGGCCAAUCAUCUCCAGCCCUUACUCACAAGUCGUCCCUUUUGUUUUAACUAUUCAUGCCUUCUGGCAGCUCUGUGCAUGCAUGCAUGCAUUAGGAACAGGCUCCUCCUGUUCUGUUUUUCUGCUGUCUGACUCUGGAGGCUCCGGAGUCCGCGCAUCACUCCCAGAUGGCCCUGGCCCCAUCUCUGCCUUCGAUGCAGAGGCCUAUUUCGGGCCUUCCCCAGACUCCAGGACUGGCCCAUGUUCCUCCCCAGUCUCCUCACUGUCCAACUCCGCUGCCAGCUCCGCAGGCUGCUGGCAGACCACAACAACUACCUUUACACAAGUUUAAAGACUGCAUAAAUCUUUCAAGGCCAAUAGUGCUCUAUUUUUUUUUAUCAUUCUAACAGGAAAAAGAAUAAAAUACUGACUGACCUCUAUCAGAAAAAGAAAGCGGUGCUAACUCAAGUCUGGAUAUCUGUUUUGAUCAUUAGGGAAAUGUAUAUAUGUAAAUCAUAUUUGCCAUCUUUCUGGUUCCUCUGCUUCAUUCACCUGGAAGUUUAGUUUAGGAUUUAGGAUUUUUUUUUUAAUUGUUUAUAAAGAUAGUUCCACUUGGUAGUAAUACUACAAUUUAUUUUGUUUAUAAUUGCUCUGAGCUUUUUUUAAUACGAAAUAUUUAAUAAAUUACUAAUAUGCCAAGUUAGCUGACUCUAUUAAAUAAAACUGUAACUCCAUAGUUUAUAAAUAAAUGACUAUUUCAUGUCAAUUAUUUUAUGAACAUUUAAAUAUUUGAAGUCCUGAAAUUGCUUUAUUAUUUAAUUAGAUAAGGAAUUUAAAAAAGCAUUUUGGUUUAAUUACAGCAGUGAAAAGGUUUCCAGUUUAAACUCAAGACAGGUAGAGUACUAAUGGUUCCUACUCUAUUGGUCAGGUAAGCAAACUUCCCAGCUGAGUCUAAGUUUUUUUCCCCUGGCUCAGGUAGACCAGACUAUCUACGUCAUUGUGUGUACAAGAGAAUGGAUAGCAAUUUCAUCUCAGUGAAGGUUAUUAAAAUAUCAGUUGUGCCUUAGCCUCAUAAUAAAGAGCCAUUACUUCUUAUCCCAGUGGGUCAUGGGUUGACUGUAGAAAUAACAGGAAAAAAAAAUCCAACUGUACAAUCUGUAACUCUUAAAAAGUUACAGAUGUUACAUUUUUAAAGUAAUGGUUUUAUUAUGCUGCUUCCCAUAGUUUCAGAUCUGAAUUUAAGAUAUGUUGGCAAUAUUGUUCACCUUUCUUUCUUUUUAAUAUACAACACAAUCAAGAGAUGACACCCAGUCCUAAUCUAGAGCCACAAUUGCACAACUAAACAAGAACAAUAAUGUUGAUAGUAUUGAGUUGCUGCCUGAGGUACUGCUGUCAUUAGACUCUCUUAUUAUGAACUCUGUGCUGCCAAUCAUUUAUUUAUAUUUCAGAAAAGUUCAUUACAAACAUUAGAAAUAUAUUCCUCAGUCCCAUUGACAAGUAGGCUUUACAUAGCUCUUUGCACCGGAAUUUGAAUAUAUAUUUCUAGUAUUCCUUUCUGUGACUAAAUGUCUGGGAAUUAUCAUAUGCUAAUUCAUUUCUUUUCUACCUUUUUAUGUCCAAUAGAGAUUAUUUGAAUUUAUUUUUAAGAAACACAUCUUUUAAGGCCAAUCAUAACAUCUCAUUAAAAUAAUCUGUAGUUGUCUUUUCCUACAUACUGUAUAAUUAAUACUAAGAAUUAAUUCUAUGUUUAUUGACUUUACCUGUAAAGGUCAAUAAAAGUAGCUAAAUUUUACAUAUUUACAUAUUUAUUUAUUUACAUAUUUAUUUAUUUACAAACAAACAUAUUUCUAAAAGUUAUAUUUUAAAACAGCACAACCAGGAUGAUUAGGGGACUGGAGAGUAAAACAUAUGAAGAAUGGUUACAUGAACUGGGCAUGGCUAGCCUAGUGAAGAGAAGGACCAGGGGAGACAUGAUAGCAGUGUUCCAAUAUUUGAGGAGCUGCCACAGAGAGGAGGGGGGUCAAAUUGUUUUCCAAAGCACCCGAAGGCCAGACAAGAAAUAAUGGAUGGAAACUGACCAAGGAGAGAUUCAACCUAGAAAUGAGGAGGAACUUUCUGACAGUGAGAACAAUCAACCAAUGGAACAGCUUCAUCACUUGAGACCUUCAAGAAAAAAUUGGACUGCCAUUUGUCAUAAAUGGUGUAGGGUCUCCUGCUUGAGUGGGGGGUUGGACUAGAUGACCUGUAAGGUUCCUUCCAACUCUGUUAAUCUGUUAUUUCCUAGAUAAAAAUCAAGAAACUAUACAAUAAGUCAUUUGGACCAACAUUUAUAAAUAAAUACCCUUAAUCCUACAAAUAUUUAUUUAUGGUUAUUUUCUCUCAAACAGACGUUUGUCAUGAUUUUUAUUGCAUUCUUAUUAAAAUAUCUGUUAAAUUUAAAGGAAUAAAAUUUCAAAAUUUACAGAAUGGUGUUUGAGUGGCAGAAAGGUAGUAUGCAGCUGCCUACUGUUGUCAUAUUUUCCUUUUCCCCCCAGAAAAAUUAAAAAACAACUAAGGAAAGUAUCAAUAACAAUACACUUUUAAAUAAAAACUAAUUUAACAAAGUCUAUGUCUACCUAUAAACAUACUCCUAUACAAUUAUUUUAAAUACCCAUACAUUUUGUCUAAAACAACUUGUUUAGAAAUGAAGAUAAGUUUAUUAGAACAAUUUAUAGCAAACAAAUAGUGACCAAAUAGUAUACUAAAUUUACAACUGAUAAGGAGCCCUUAUUUUAAGGAGUCCUUUAUUGCUGUUAAUUUUCAGCAAAGCAAUUUCCCAUACUUUAAAAUAACACUGAGACAAUUAAAAAUGUACUUUUGUUUUUCAACAGUAAACUCAAUAGUGAACAAUAAAUACUUAAUCCAUUUAUUAUCCUUGAUCAAUUGUUAAGUAUUAGGAAAUAGGAUAAAUUAAUAAAUAUCAUUUCAUAUCAUGAAAUAUGGUCAGUACUCAAGUAAUAAAUUUAUAUUGCUCACUGAUUAAAAUUAACAAACACUAUUUUCUAUUUGCAUCUAUCUAGCCUCACCAUAAUUUAUAAAAAUUACAUAAUUUUCUUAAUUUCUUCAAAAACACUUGACAAAAAGCAUUAUUAAAUUUGGCAUUCAUCAAAGUUUGUACGUAUCAAUUUGAUUACACCUUUGCUAACAAAAUCUAGAAAGUUCCCAUUUUUAGACCAACAUUUCCACCAAUAAAAGUUUGAUGGAGUGUAAUACUUUCUACUGUUCUUUGUUGAUUACUUAUUUAUGUAGAUUUAAGAGCACCUUUGUUCUGUGAAGCAUUCCAGUGACAGUCAACAAAUUCAGUGCUAAAAUAAUUCUUCUGUAAUUUUGUAAUACUUCGAAGAUACUCUGUUUGCUUAAAAUAUAAUUCCAUGUAACUUUAGUAAGAUUUCCUUAUUUAAUGUACAGGUAGUCCUCAACUUACAACCAUUCAUUUAGUGACCAUUCAAAGUUAUAACAGCACUGAAAAAAGUAACAUGACCAGUUCUCAUACUUAUGACCAUUGCAGCAUUCCUAUGGUCACAUGAUCAGAAUUUGGAUACUUGGCAACUGGCAUGUAUUUAUGAUGGUUGCACUGUCAUGUGGUCACCAUUUGUGGUCUUCCCAGCUGGUUUCUGACAAGCAAAGUCAAUGGGAGAAGCCAGAUUUGAUUAUUGACGACAUUAUUGAUUCACUUAACAAUUGCACUGAUUCAUUUAACCAUGGCAAAAAGGUCAAAAUGGCAUGAAUCACUGAACAACUGCCUUGCUUAGCAACAGAAAUGUGCUCAAUAAUGGUGUAAGUUGAGGACUACUAUAUAUUUAUAUGACUUUUAAAUAUUAUUGACAGUCCAAGUUGACCCAAUUUGUAUACUUUAUGAAGAAAGAUUAAAUUUAAUUGAAAUUA